UACGUAGGCAGCGAGCGUUGUUCGGAGUUACUGGGCGUAAAGGGUGUGUAGGCGGUUGUUUAAGUUUGGUGUGAAAUCUCCCGGCUCAACCGGGAGGGUGCGCCGAAUACUGAAUGACUUCGAGUGCGGGAGAGGAGAGUGGAAUUCCUGGUGUAGCGGUGAAAUGCGUAGAUAUCAGGAGGAACACCGGUGGUGUAGACGGCUCUCUGGACCGUAACUGACGCUGAGACACGAAAGCGUGGGUAGCAAACAGG
rnacentral:rRNA from 1 species